rnacentral:rRNA from 1 species
CGGCGGACGGGUGAGUAAUGUCUGGGAAACUGCCUGAUGGAGGGGGAUAACUACUGGAAACGGUAGCUAAUACCGCAUAACGUCGCAAGACCAAAGAGGGGGACCUUCGGGCCUCUUGCCAUCAGAUGUGCCCAGAUGGGAUUAGCUAGUAGGUGGGGUAACGGCUCACCUAGGCGACGAUCCCUAGCUGGUCUGAGAGGAUGACCAGCCACACUGGAACUGAGACACGGUCCAGACUCCUACGGGAGGCAGCAGUC